CUUCCUACGGGGCGCAGCAGUGGGGAAUAUUGCACAAUGGGGGGAACCCUGGUGCAGCGACGCCGCGUGGGUGAAGGAGUAUUUCGGUAUGUAAAGCCCUAUCAGCAGGGAAGAACAAUGACGGUACCUGACUAAGAAGCACCGGCUAAAUACGUGCCAGCAGCCGCGGUAAUACGUAUGGUGCAAGCGUUAUCCGGAUUUAGUGGGUGUAACGGGAGCGCAGGCGGCGCGGUAAGCCUGGUGUGAAAGCCCGCGGCGCAACCGCGGAACUGCAUUG
rnacentral:rRNA from 1 species